AACGCUGGCGGCAGGCCUAACACAUGCAAGUCGAGCGCCGUAGCAAUACGGAGCGGCAGACGGGAGAGUAACACGUGGGAACGUACCCUUUGGUUCGGAACAACCCAGGGAAACUUGGGCUAAUACCGGAUAAGCCCUCACGGGGAAAGAUUCAUCGCCGAAGGAUCGGCCCGCGUCUGAUUAGCUAGUUGGUGGGGUAAUGGCCCACCAAGGCGACGAUCAGUAGCUGGUCUGAGAGGAUGAUCAGCCUCACUGGGACUGAGACACGGCCCAGACUCCUACGGGAGGCAGCAGUGGGGAAUAUUGGACAAUGGGCGCAAGCCUGAUCCAGCCAUGCCGCGUGGGUGAUGAAGGCCCUAGGGUUGUAAAGCCCUUUCGGCGGGGAAGAUAAUGACGGUACCCGCAGAAGAAGCCCCGGCUAACUUCGUGCCAGCAGCCGCGGUAAUACGAAGGGGGCUAGCGUUGCUCGGAAUCACUGGGCGUAAAGCGCACGUAGGCGGAUUGUUAAGUCAGGGGUGAAAUCCUGGAGCUCAACUCCAGAACUGCCUUUGAUACUGGCGAUCUUGAGUCCGGGAGAGGUGAGUGGAACUGCGA
rnacentral:rRNA from 1 species